GAUGAACGCUAGCUACAGGCUUAACACAUGCAAGUCGAGGGGAAACGAUAGAGAAAGCUUGCUUUUUCUAGGCGUCGACCGGCGCACGGGUGAGUAACGCGUAUCCAACCUGCCCACCACUUGGGGAUAACCUUGCGAAAGUAAGACUAAUACCCAAUGAUAUCUCAAGAAGACAUCCGAAUGAGAUUAAAGAUUUAUCGGAGAUGGAUGGGGAUGCGUCUGAUUAGCUUGUUGGCGGGGUAACGGCCCACCAAGGCGACGAUCAGUAGGGGUUCUGAGGGGAAGGUCCCCCCCAUGGGAACUGAGACACGGUCCAAACUCCUACGGGAGGAAGCAGUGAGGAAUAUUGGUCAAUGGGCGAGAGCCUGAACCAGCCAAGUAGCGUGCAGGAUGACGGCCCUAUGGGUUGUAAACUGCUUUUAUAAGGGAAUAAAGUGAGUCUCGUGGGACUUUUUGCAGGUACCUUAUGAAUAAGGACCGGCUAAUUCCGUGCCAGCCGCCGCCGUAA
rnacentral:rRNA from 1 species